UCCCUUUCAUGCACUAUCCACUGUUUUAUAAUUUCAUUUCCAAAAUUACCCCUCCAGCCUUCCAUGUCAGCAGCCAUCUCCCUCUCCAUGUCACCACGGGAAGUUGUGCUUUUAAGCACCCAUGGUUAUCAUACCCAUACGAGCCUAUAUCAUCUUGAACAACCUGAAGAUUUCUUGGUGGAGAAGACUACAUGCUGCAGGUGGCCUCAUAUGCUUGGAUUUGGGUGUCUUGGUGAGAGGGAAAGAACCCUGGUUGAUUCCUGAUUGAAAUGGGUCAGAUCUAGGAACAACGAUCUUCAAUGGCGGGUUCACCCCUUAACAUGCCUGCACAAAGCAUUUGAAGGUGUUCACUACUCACCAUUGGAUGGUUCGGAUAUACAAAUUAAAACCUCCGAAGAACAGGAUCCGUGUAAAAACAAAGAAAUCAAAAUCGAAAGCAAGCUCCACAACCAGCUUAAAAAAAAAAAUGGAAAAAAGAAGAAGAAUCCCUGGCAAUGAAAGUCACUUUCAGAAGAUGCUGUCUCCAAUCAGUUACUUGUAACCCACAUAUUUAAUAUCCAAAACACUAAUUCGUUCUCUUAAAAGUAAUUUCUACAGCAAUUUUAUCGUGGUCAAUCCCAAACAGGCCUUUAUUAUGAUUUCUAUAUCCAUAUCCUCUCUUUUCAA